rnacentral:rRNA from 1 species
AAGUAAAAGUCGUAACAAGGUCUCCGUUGGUGAACCAGCGGAGGGAUCAUUACUGAGUUUACGCUCUACAACCCUUUGUGAACAUACCUAUAACUGUUGCUUCGGCGGGUAGGGUCUCCGCGACCCUCCCGGCCUCCCGCCUCCGGGCGGGUCGGCGCCCGCCGGAGGAUAACCAAACUCUGAUUUAACGACGUUUCUUCUGAGUGGUACAAGCAAAUAAUCAAAACUUUUAACAACGGAUCUCUUGGUUCUGGCAUCGAUGAAGAACGCAGCGAAAUGCGAUAAGUAAUGUGAAUUGCAGAAUUCAGUGAAUCAUCGAAUCUUUGAACGCACAUUGCGCCCGCCAGCAUUCUGGCGGGCAUGCCUGUUCGAGCGUCAUUUCAACCCUCAAGCUCUGCUUGGUGUUGGGGCCCUACAGCCGAUGUAGGCCCUCAAAGGUAGUGGCGGACCCUCCCGGAGCCUCCUUUGCGUAGUAACUUUACGUCUCGCACUGGGAUCCGGAGGGACUCUUGCCGUAAAACCCCCCAAUUUUCCAAAGGUUGACCUCGGAUCAGGUAGGAAUACCCGCUGAACUUAAGCAUAUCAAUAAGCGGAGGA